rnacentral:tRNA from 1 species
GGGGAGGUAGCUUAAAUGUCCAGAACACAGGUCUUGUAUGCCUGGAGCCCCAGAGUUCCUGGGAUCAAUUCCUAGCUUCACUU